AGUCAAUAGAUACCCGGGUAGUCCACGCCGUAAACGAUGAAUACUAGGUGUAGGGGUUGUCAUGACCUCUGUGCCGCCGCUAAACGCAUUAAGUAUUCCGCCUGGGGAGUACGGUCGCAAGAUUAAAACUCAAAGGAAUUGACGGGGGCCCGCACAAGCAGCGGAGCAUGUGGUUUAAUUCGAAGCAACGCGAAGAACCUUACCUAGACUCGACAUCUCCUGAAUUACCCUUAAUCGGGGAAGUUCCUUCGGGAACAGGAAGACAGGUGGUGCAUGGUUGUCGUCAGCUCGUGUCGUGAGAUGUUGGGUUAAGUCCCGCAACGAGCGCAACCCUUAUUGUUAGUUGCUACCAUUUAGUUGAGCACUCUAGCGAGACUGCCCGGGUUAACCGGGAGGAAGGUGGGGAUGACGUCAAAUCAUCAUGCCCCUUAUGUCUAGGGCUACACACGUGCUACAAUGGCCGGUACAAAGAGAUGCAAUACCGCAAGGUGGAGCUAAACUAUAAAACCGGUCUCAGUUCGGAUUGCAGGCUGAAACUCGCCUGC
rnacentral:rRNA from 1 species